rnacentral:misc_RNA from 1 species
UAUCUUUUUUUUUUUGAGACAAAAAGUUAUUGUUUUUAGAUCUGUUGGAAUGUUGAAAAGCUGGUUUAUAAAGCAAGUUCAAAAAUUUUGGCAAGCACAUGCGUUUUGGAUUUGUAUGGUGCACGCAUUGGUUCAUGUCACUCUUUUCUCACUGUUUCACUCUUUUCUGUGUGAAAUUGUAUAGUUGAACCUUCUAUAUUUCCUUGCUUCUACCUCUCUCCCUCUCUCUCUCUCUAUGUGGUGCUGGUUGGCAAGGUGUUUUACUUGAUUACACGUGAUAUGUGCUAUGCUAAGUUAUCAAAGGCUUCAAAUAUGCCCUAUGUUAUUGCAAAUGAUUUGUGGGAUUUCAAGACAAUGGUGUCAAGAUUUAAUGGCAUGGUGAAGUUGUAGCAUUGGCCUCACCAUUAUGGCAUAUGAAUGCUAGACCACCAAAAUUUCACCCUUGUUUCAAUCAAUUGAUGUCCCCUCUCCAAAAAGUCUCUUCAUUCUGAAUACUUCUCACUGAUGUUUCAACUUGGUAUUAAUGCUGAAUCUUGUUCUUUAAAUUAAUACAACUUGACAUUCUCAUGGAGUUGCUCACUUUCAUCCAUAAUGAGUUGUUGAUGAUAGCUUGUUGCCUCUCAUUACUUGCAACUGUGUGCAUGCUCUUAAAAGCCAAGCUUCUCUGUGGGCAUAUGAAUGUGUCCAUGCAAGUAUGCCAAUAAGGUGGACAGGCAGGCAUGUGUUCUCCAUCUGUUUUUUGACUGUUGGUUUCAAAUAUCAUACUUGUCUGGCAGUCUCAUAAUUUUGGCAUCUAUCCAUGCAAUUUUAGCUUUUAAAUUUUAUUUUCUAAUUCUUCCAACUGAUCAACUCCUUAAUUCUCCUUUGCACAUACAUUAUCAUGUGCUUCAGCUCAAUCAUUUGAUGAAGAAUCUAG